CCAACCCCAUCGCUGCCGCCAACACCGACGACCUCCUCUCCCCCAACCCCACUGCCGGCGCCCCCACCUCACCAGCAGCCACUGCCAUGGACAGAGCCGCUGCCUCUCUCGGCGCACGAAGCCCUAGCUCAAGCCGCAGCGACCCACCCGCUGCGUCCCACGUUCACGCGCGAGAUCCGCCCCAUGGCGAUGCUCGAUCCAGGCAGGCCCGAGGAAGGAGAGGAGUCGGCUCCCUUCCUCCUCUCCGGUGAGCCUGAGCGAGCUCCCCCUCCCCCUCCCCACCUCCUCCGCACCGCCGCUGGACCAACGUGCCACGUUGCCCUCAGAUCCGGCUUCCAGGAGCUGCCACGGUCGUUCAGCAGGUAGCAGUGCGUGCAUCAUUGGCCGUGCGUGCAGUCCGCAUCCCCUUCGCAUGCCUGCACUACGGUUCCCUGGUGUAGUUCAAUGUUUGGCUCCGCCUCCCCCUGUUUGCAGCUCCUUUCAAUUCUUUUGCAGCUCACUGAAUAUAUUUUUGCAGUUCAUUGUGAGAAUCCAUGGCGCUGGCCGCGCCACACCUUUUCUUGCUUCUUCUCGUCUGAGGCGAGCACCAGCGGUACGUAUCAGCCCUCUUCUCUAUGGUGCUGGCUAGGUAAGAACUAGGGAUCUGUGGCAGCAGCUCAUAGAUUAGAAUUAGAUUUGAUAAUUGGAGAUGGAUUCCUGAACCAAUUUGCAAUUAGAAUUAGAUUUGAUAAUUGGAGAUGGAUUCCUGAACCAAUUUGCAAAUUCGUUGGUGAUUUCAGUGCUUAUACUUAUUUGGUUUUGGUGCCUGGUCGGACCUUCUCUAUGUUAGUUCCUUUGCUUAGCCAAAUCAGUUAGGGAUAUAGCCCAUCCAUGAUGUUGCGAGGUGUUGAUUGCCUUCUAGCAAAAAUCUGGAGCGUUGGGUAUCUCUGGCUAUAAACUGAAUCUGGUUCAGUUAAAAACUGCACUGUCAAAUCUGGACAGCCAGCUUCUAGGUGAAAAACGAGUUAGUUAUUCUCAGAAUUUCAAGUUGCCUCUAUACGAAAUCUGUAAAGCAAGUUCCAAGCUUUCCGUAGAGUAUUUAUUUGCGUCGUUUGGAUGUAUGGUUUGAGAGCAGGCAUCGUUUUAGUUUGCUGUCCUGAAUGUUAGUAUCCUGAGUGCAUUGUUUUCGUAUGCCAGUUUACAGCCUUGUAGAGGCUGUUUUAAAAAAAAGUUUCAAUACGAAAUUUGUAGAGGGUUUGUAGUAGAUUGCAAGGCCGAUUUCAGUUUCAGUUUGCUCCACCGCUGUGAAAGGUGGAGGAGCCUAGAUUGCAAGGCCGAUUUCAGUUUCAGUUUCGAUCGAGCCUAGAUUGCAAGGCCGAUUUUAAUCUAGCACUCUCCAUGCAGCUCCUCAAUAAUUGUAGUCAAUUGGUUGGACAGUCUUCUUGUUUUCAUCAUUUUUUUCUAGUUAUAUACGUAGUUGGCUGGGAUUAUAAUGCUAUCUUUGCUUACUGUUAACUGUCCAAAUUGAUGUAGAAAGAUAAACAGUUGUUGAUCGCUUCCACGGUUGUCUGAUAGAAACGUCAAUUAGUAAGUGAAAAUAGACGUUUGCGCCUACUUGUAUUUUAUAGCAGUUUCUGGGACUGUGACAUGUUGGUCAUCAUUUUGUGAUUGGUUAUAUAUGGAUUAUAUAUGUUAGGCCUGUGGAAAAGGACUGAAGAAUCCAUAGCAAGAACUGAGAGGCUAUAUAAUUUUGCAGGGGCGUACAUGGUUGGGGAUUUCUUAUUUGCGCAUCCAUUCCUUAGUCGCCUUAUGAGUUUGUCGUUUGUUCCACUUAAAAUGUCCACAACUUCUCUGAACAUUCCAAGACCACCUCCUUGUUGAUGUGUCUGCGCCAUAUGAUUGCAGAAAGCACCUGGGAUAUACUAAGCAGAGUGGUGCCUUAACAGCUUCUUGCAUUUUGUUGCACUUGCAUCUCAGCAAUUACACUAAAAUCUGGUUUCUCUGGUUGUGCUACUGACAUGUCUUUAUAUUUCUUGGCAGAUUAACAUAUUCAAGUCAAGAUGGUUAGGUUUGGGGAAAAGUUGACGGCCGGCCAAGUUCCAGAGUGGAGAGGGUACGAUUCAGGUUUUUUUUUCCACCUUGUACUGACUUGUAUCAUUGAGUUCUCCAAAUAUUCUGUCAACUGCUUCUGAUGAAACUUAUGUCGAUUUCUUACAGUGUUUACUGAACAAGAAGAUAAAGAAACAUUGCAAUAAUUGAACAUUGCAAUUGAGUGCCCAUCUAAUUGGUGUAGAAAAACUGCACACUUGGCCUUGGCUACCAAUAUUUUAACGUUGCAUUGCUGAUUCAGUGUUUACAGUUACUAUAUAAACUACAAGCUGAUGAAGAAGAAAGUAAAACAAUAUGGGCAGCAGCUCCAACAGGGAGAGAAAGACCGUCGUCGUGUUCUCAAGGAUUUCUCAAAGAUGCUUGAUGAUCAGGUAGAAGAUAGCAACAGAGUGGGAAGGUUUGUGCAGAGAUCUUACCUUGAGGUUAUCACAGAUGCACACAAUAUGACACUGAAUUGGCCAAAAAUAGGGAGCUACAAGAUGAACUUUUAAAGGUUAAGACCUCACUAUCUGCUUCAACGAAGAGAUUUGAAGAGUUGCAAAAGGUAAUUUUGGGGCAAAUUUCCAUUGCUGCAGGAUAAUGAGAUGUUGAAGCGACAGACUGAAUCCAUGACACCGAAGUGCAAUUGCGGCAGAUUAUCUCUAUUUUUCUUUUCAUUUUUCUUAUUAUUGGAGUGAGAGUAGGUAGAAUGAGGAACUGUGUGAUAGUAGAUACAACAACUGUAGUAGAAAGAAACUUAUGUUUGCAAUUGUUAAUGACAUACAUACUUGCAUGUUCUUUGAAGUGGUCAAUCGUGA